GAGCUGUGAAAGUAUCUGAAGGAGAGAUUUACAGCUUCAAUGUAACAGAUGGAGGAGUUUAUUACUGUGUGGCCACUAAUGAUCUGGGUAAUCAGACAUCAGCAGAGAUUCAUGUGAAUACUGAAGGUGGUAUUGGUCUCUUUGCUCUACUGCAGACUGCAGGAAUCACAGUGCUUGUGAUCACACUGGCCAUCUUUGAGUGCUGCUUCAGAUCGAGACGCUCCAACAAAUCAGAGAUAGAAAUCUGCCAAAUGAACACUUACUUAACAGCUGAACAACUAAAGUCUAUGCAAGUCGCAAGAGGAGGGAAAACUCCAGUUUAAAAUACAAUAUGAAACUAUUUUUAACGCUUAAGAGUUGGUUUGCCAGAAUUAAGGAUGUUUGUAGAUUUCUUUAUAGUGUGGUGUUCAAAUAUUUUUAGGCAAAUUAUUAAAAAAAAGGCCAUACUGGCUUAAAAUGUAUACCACCAGACCUUAAAAGGUUGCUUGUCUCGCUCAGAUUAUUCAUAUUAGCAAAGUAUGCUUAUAGACCAGGUCAUACUAGAACUCUCUCAGCACAUAUAAGGGAUCACUGUUUAAUAAAUAUAGAUGAUAGGAAACUAGACAGGGUUGUGUUUUUAAAUGCUACUGUGUUCAAUGUCACUGACAACAGUGUUUUAAUAACAAAAUGAAAUGUCUAUAAUGAUGUGUUUUGUGUGUGUGUGUUUAUGGGUGUGUGGAUUUGUCAUGUCUGUUGUGUUUUUGUAAUACGUUUAUCAUCUUCUGCAUGUAAUCUUCCACGGGCCAGCGGAUGCAAAUUAUCUUAAACUAACUCUGGUACAAAACAUUGAAUCACAACAUUUAUGUUAAUAUUGUGCAUUUUUCCUUUUCAAAUAAAAUCAAUUAAUAAUAAUAACUGAACCUAGAUGUUGUUGUAUCUCAGAUCAAAAACUGUCUUUCUGGG